rnacentral:rRNA from 1 species
ACGCUAGCGAUAGGCUUAACACAUGCAAGUCAAGGGGCAUCACGAAUUAGCAAUAGUUUGGUGGCGACCGGCGCACGGGUGCGUAACACGUAUACAACCUACCUUCAAUUGGGGGAUAACCUGGAGAAAUUCGGACUAAUACCCCAUAGUAAACAGAAGAGGCAUCUUUUUUGUUUUAAAGAUUUAUUGAUUGGAGAUGGGUAUGCGUAGGAUUAGCUAGUUGGUAAGGUAACGGCUUACCAAGGCGACGAUCCUUAGGGGUUCUGAGAGGAAGGUCCCCCACACUGGUACUGAGACACGGACCAGACUCCUACGGGAGGCAGCAGUGAGGAAUAUUGGUCAAUGGUCGAGAGACUGAACCAGCCAAGUCGCGUAAAGGAAGACGGCUCUAUGAGUUGUAAACUUCUUUUGUACAGGAGUAAAGUGAGACACGCGUGUUUUAUUGCAAGUACUGUACGAAUAAGCAUCGGCU